rnacentral:rRNA from 1 species
UUGGCCUACGGGAGGCAGCAGUGGGGAAUAUUGCACAAUGGGCGCAGGCCUGAUGCAGCGACGCCGCGUGCGGGAUGGAGGCCUUCGGGUUGUAAACCGCUUUUGUUCAAGGGCAAGGCACGGUCUUUGGCCGUGUUGAGUGGAUUGUUCGAAUAAGCACCGGCUAACUACGUGCCAGCAGCCGCGGUAAUACGUAGGGUGCAAGCGUUAUCCGGAUUUAUUGGGCGCAAAGGGCUCGUAGGCGGUUCGUCGCGUCCGGGGGGAAGGUCCAUCGCUUAACGGUGGAUCCGCG